rnacentral:lncRNA from 1 species
GACCAGAAGCCUGUGUCUGAGUCACCAUCAAACAACCAGCUGGUCAAUUCUGAGGCACUUCCAAGUAAUGGCGUGGUAGAUUCUGGACAUCAGACCAGUAAUGAUGUGGUUGUAUCUGAAACGCAGCGCAGCAAUGAGGUGGUUUUACCUGAAGCAGAGCAAAACAAUGAGGUGGUUUUACCUGAAGCAGAGCAAAACAAUGAGGUGGUUUUACCUGAAGCAGAGCAAAACAAUGAGGUGGUUUUACCUGAAACUGACCAAAGAGAUGAGGUGGUUAUAUCUGAAACCCAGCAAAGAGACGAGGCAGUUUUAUCUGAAACCCAGCAAGGCGAUGAAGCAGUUUUAUCUGAAACCCAGCAAAGCCAUGAGGCAGUUUUAUCAGAAACACAGCAAAGCCACGAGGCAGUUUUAUCAGAAACACAGCAAAGCCACGAGGCGGUUUUAUCUGAAACACAGCAAAUCAAUGGGGCAAUUUUAUCUGAAACACAGCAAAGCAGUGAGGCAGUUUUAUCUGAAAUACAGCAAAGCAAAGAGGCAGUUUUAUCUGAAAUACAGCAAAACAAAGAGGCAGUUUUAUCUGAAACACAGCAAAGCAAU